UACGUAGGUGACAAGCGUUAUCCGGAAUUAUUGGGCGUAAAGAGCGCGCAGGUGGUUGAUUAAGUCUGAUGUGAAAGCCCACGGCUUAACCGUGGAGGGUCGAUUGGAAGCUGGUCGACUUGAGUGCAGAAGAGGGAAGUGGAAUUCCAUGUGUAGCGGUGAAAUGCGUAGAGAUAUGGAGGAACACCAGUGGCGAAGGCGGCUUCCUGGUCUGUAACUGACACUGAGGCGCGAAAGCGUGGGGAGGCAAACAGGAUUAGA
rnacentral:rRNA from 1 species